UGGGGGAUAUUGCACAAUGGGGGGAACCCUGAUGCAGCGACGCCGCGUGGGUGAAGAAGCGCCUCGGCGCGUAAAGCCCUGUCAGCAGGGAAGAAAUGACGGUACCUGAAGAAGAAGCCCCGGCUAACUACGU
rnacentral:rRNA from 1 species